AUGGGGCGGGGGGUGGUUCUUUCAGAGGCUGGGAGUGCCUGCUCACUGCCUCUUCCUGGUGCACUGCUUGGAGUUAGAACUUCUGAGGAAAAGAGCCUGGUGGUCUCUCUUCCCCCUUGUGGAAUAUCCUUGAAGCAGCCUUUCACUUGCAUGUUGCCCCAGGUGCCCUUGGCUGUAGAAGUUUCUUCCUCCUUUCUCAGAAGAGAAAGAACUUUCAUCUGGAACAGUGAGGGUGGCCUUUGGCAGCACAGAGAGGGGAGAAUGGACAACACAGUACAUCACAAUGGGACACGGGCGACCUGCCUCCACUCCCUCUGCUCGGAACUUCCGCAGAAGCAGCAGGACAAUGAAGGGAGAGGAAAGGAGACAGACUCAGACUCAACCCUUAGAUGGAAGAUUCAGUUCUUCCUCCGGCUCUUGCUGCCCUGUGCCUAGUUCCCUACCUGGACGGAGAGAGCCUUGAGAUAUAGCCUGCCUGAAUCUGUGAAUGUUUGGCCACAUGGGAUGGGAAAGUGUUGGAGGAGGUCAUGGAGAGGACAUGACUGCUGCUUGACUGGUGAGCUGGACCUGGGCCGUUGGAAGCUUUUCAUCCCUCCUUUGUCCUUGGAACAUUCUGCCUGUUGUUCCCACAGCUGGGGCCAUUUUCAAGGAUGCAGCCUUGAGAGAAUACGUUGAGACCAUCUGGACUUUACCAGUGACUAAACCCAGUUAAGGUUUCUAUGUGGACUCUAAGAUUCCGGUGGCUGGUAAGGAGAUCUC
rnacentral:lncRNA from 1 species